rnacentral:lncRNA from 1 species
ACUGGGCCUCCUUUGGUUUUAUGACAUAUAUUUGAUAUUGGAUCGGUCUAAAAUGGUCUUCAUGCUCGAUGAAGUGCAGUCUUCUUCAUCUUCGAUUAGCGCUGGAGAUACAAUUGGUCGAGGCUGCGGUGGAAAUCCACGACACUACCUGUUGCGGCCAAUCGCCUCGUCGCCCGAUCGUCGGGGAGCGUGCACCUGCAAAAGGAAGUCCGCACUGACCGGAGGCGGCUCCGGUCGGGGACCCUCCGACGGUCAAGCCAGAGAGGUGACUGGGCAACAGUGAAAUGCAGACAGAGAGCUCUAAGAAAGAGAGAGUGAGGGGGAGG